UACAGAGGGUGCGAGCGUUAAUCGGAAUUACUGGGCGUAAAGCGUGCGCAGGCGGCGCGUUAAGACAGGUGUGAAAUCCCCGGGCUUAACCUGGGAAUUGCGCUUGAAACUAGCGGGCUUGAGUGUGGCAGAGGGGGGUGGAAUUCCACGUGUAGCAGUGAAAUGCGUAGAGAUGUGGAGGAACACCGAUGGCGAAGGCAGCCCCCUGGGUCAACACUGACGCUCAUGCACGAAAGCGUGGGGAGCAAACAGG
rnacentral:rRNA from 1 species